rnacentral:rRNA from 1 species
UACGGAGGGUGCAAGCGUUAUCCGGAUUCACUGGGUUUAAAGGGUGCGUAGGAGGGCAGGUAAGUCAGUGGUGAAAUCUCCGGGCUUAACUCGGAAACUGCCGUUGAUACUAUCUGUCUUGAAUAUUGUGGAGGUGAGCGGAAUAUGUCAUGUAGCGGUGAAAUGCUUAGAUAUGACAUAGAACACCAAUUGCGAAGGCAGCUGGCUACACGAAUAUUGACACUGAUGCACGAAAGCGUGGGGAUCAAACAGG